CGGGCUGGCUCAGAAGGAAGGUGGCGGCGAGGAAGGGUAUUUAGAAUCUCGUAGCAUAGCACGGGACCGUGCCAAGCUGUAAGCAUAGCGAGUUAGGUAUGGGCUUUCUUUUCACUACCAGAAUAAGCAGUUGGCCUAUUGUUGAUCAAAGUCUGGGUUGGCGGUCCCUAGUUAUAGAUAGGCUUUCGCCUUCCUUUUUCCGUCCAACGAGGAUUUUAGUGUUUGGAGAAUUCUUCCUAUUUGACCCGAUGCCGUACCCUUCAUGUGUUCAUGAUACAGGGCCGGGGUACAUCUUCCACAAAAACAAUCGACUACGAGGAUUGAUAAGUUGUUCAUUUGAUAACCUUCACCUCUAUCUACACAGUUUCAUUUCUACGUCUUCGACGAGCAAGACUUCACUGCUGACAUAGGGUGAGGUUUCAACAGGGCAAGCGGAGAUUCUCCAACCUGCGGUCAGCUAUGAUAUACUAAACUUCUUCUUUUCACCUCCCUCUUCGAUCGAUCCGGAAGACGUUCCCUUAGCAGUUGACAUCUCAACAGAGUCCUCCGGUCGAGUUGGAAAACAACCCUUGAGACCUACGAGCUCCUAAAGCAAAGAAAGAAAUAGACAGACUUAGACGAGGGCAUCUUGAACCCCUCUCCCUAUGGUCCGGUCGAGUUAGCCCAUGACCUCAAGAUCAAGAAGAGCCAGCCAUACAUAGAAGACAAGGGAAGACCUUGCUCGACCAAAUGAGCGUAGCAGCAGCAUCAUGAGAUAGAACCCGGUCCUGUCGUCCCCCGGCUGUCCAUCUGUGGAACAUGGGGCUGAAGACCUCUAGAGUACCUACUAGAAGAAAGACAGAACCACUUGGUUUGGUUGGCUAGGGGGAAAAAAGCCUUAGGAGGAAGAAGCAGAUGGAAGACAGGGUCACUUGUGAAAGAACUAGCCGAAGGGGGGACGACCAUCACAGUUGGGGCGGUGGAUGACAGGCUGGCUAGCUCACCAAGAACAUCAGGAGAGGUUGGGGAAGACUUGGCUGCGGCAAGUCAAGGAGAGGUUAGGUCAAGGGAUUUCAGACAGAAGUCCCAUCAAUCAAUCAGAAUAAAAGGAUGUUCCAGGAAAGAGGGGAACAAGGAUAUCCAAAAGAAUAGGCCUUGAAGGAAGGCAUGAAUGAGGGGAGACCGGUCUAAGGGCAACAAAACAAGCUAUGCUACAAGGUUUAAUCAGUCCACUAAGGGAUGACCUCUUCUACAUGAUUUCAGCGAAGUGUUCAAGUCAAGGCCCUAGACUAACUACAAAGGGCGAUCAAAGAAAAGAAGACUUGAAAGAAAAGCCUUCUAUCCCACAGCUAAGGCAUCCAUCCAAUACAGAUAGAGCGUCAUAUAAAAUGACUCUAUCCUUUGGAAACCACCUAUUCCUCUCAUCGACUACCUUCACUAGGGUUAAGAUUCAUGGUUUUCUAAGGGCGGCCCAUUAGCUUCCUUUGAUGGAGCAAGGGAUUUCGUCUCUUUCCUUCUGGGCCAGGAAUGGAAGUUGUCGUUAAGCUUCUUUGGAUCAAUCGAUAGUGUGCUUAUCGCUCUACUUCGCUUGAUUCUCAUGCCAGGUGUGGUUUUGGGACUGGACUCGUCGCUCAGCUUUAGGCCUUAUUAGCUUCAUUUCUGAAGUGAGCAUGAAGUCCGAAUUGAAUAGAUACUGAGAAAGCGUCUUUCGUGAUUAAAGUUGCAAGUUCGGAUUCAGGAUUGAGAAAGAAAUCAGCAAAGCGCAGCUGGAGCUUAAUCUAUUAUAGCGUAGGGUAGGCUCUUUGGAUAGAUUGACUGGCUUAAGCCGAUGAACCAGCUUCUACCACUGACGAGCUAAUUCGGACUAUGCCUAACUAGAGGAAGAGGAAGAAAAUCACCUGGUCCGAAUCUUGGCUCGGCAUCUUUUAGGGAAUCAAAUAUCUGGUAAGAAAGGGCGAGUCGGCUACUCGAAGCGGAGAAGCAAGAGCUCACUCGACCCAUAGGAAUAGGGAGGAAGUUUCAUUCCAAAACUGCUCUUAGUUUGAGCUAGGAGAUGGGACAAUACGCUGUUAGUUUGAGCUAGGAGUUUCAAACUGAGAUUUUACUUUAUAGUAAAAAGGGGUUUACCAGAUCGAAAUAAUCCUGUAGCAAACGGGAUUGAUUCCACUUCCUUGUUAAGUACGUCCCUCUUCUCUCUUGCCGAUUCCGAACUCCAGGAGGAGAGUAGCUCAGCCGACUAAAGCUAAAAGCAGAGUUGGAGCUUGGCAAUGCAGUUGAUCUUCUUGCAGCUGAGAGAGAUGCUGGCAUUGAAUGAAGCUGAUUCCCCCGUACUACCAAUAAAUAUUUCCAAUAGUUAGAAUCCUUAUUACUAGAACUGGCUCUAAGAGACCUGCUGUAACCGUUAUUGGGGAACUGCUACCGUAAUCCGGACUACAUAUUCCACUAGGCUAGUUCUUUAUUACUUUAUUUUUCUUUAAGGAGAAGCGGAUCGAUCCACUUUUCAUUUAUCAAAAACGUGACUCCCCUAAGCUAAGUAAACUGCACUGUCGGAAAGACAGCCUAGAGCGAUCAGGCUUCCGGUCGAGGCAUACUAUCUAAGCUACUCUCCUAGUGGUUUUUUUUAACAGAUCCACGCGCUCGAUCUUAUAUAUGUCACCUGCUUCACUUUUAAACCCCAUAUUCCCGCAAGCCAUGUCGAGUUCACAACCUAGGGCAGAAAGCGAAAGGCUAGAAUGAUUUAAAUAACGUACAAACGCGAAGAAAACCUCCUGCAGUACCGGCCGUGUCCUUGGCUCUCACUCCCAUGAAUCAGAUAGUGCCAUACGUCCCACCACAACCGUCCGAUCCUCUGAUUCGGAAUCGGAAGAGGAAUCGGAAGGAGAAGAUCAGUCGCCUUGAACGGGCAGUUAAUAAGUUGAGUUGAGUAGGGACAACAAGUAUGAUGUUGCAGAUCUUGAUAAUCUCUCCCUAUACCCCAAAGUCAGGCUUCCGUACGGUUUUCAGUGGCCAAAGAUAGAUAAGUUAGUUAUUGAUAAAGCGGGUUUCGUCUCAUUUUCCGGAAAGCCAGUCAUACUAUUCCACUUUAGCUAAGCUAAUGAUGAAAGAGGAUCUGGAUUUGUCUGCAGAUGAUGAUGUCCACUCCUGGCUCGAUGCGCUUAACGAAAGGGAACUCUCUAGAUUAAUAAAGAAUUUCCUUAGUAAUUAAGCAGCAUCCUUUAAGUGAGUAGGGGUGCGCCGGACCGCCGACGAAUAAGAGGUACCCCCACACCCCAGGCAGAGUUAGUGAGCCGUGUAAUAGGCGACCAUUUCGCGCGGUUCGGGGGGCACUUGAGUCAGCCGCCGGCGCAUAAGUGAGUAGGGGCUGCGUCUUGACCCCUAUCCAAUUUUUGGGCCAAUUCCCCCUUCGUACUACCAAAAAAUGAGAUUCUUGCCGAAUCCGAGUUUGCUGCUCCAACCAUUACCAAACUAAUACCUAUUCUGUUUAGUACUUCAGGUGCUUCUGUUGCGUAUAAUGUAAAUCCCGUAGCGGAUCAAUUCCAACGAGCCUUUCAAACGAGUACUUUUAGUAAUCGACUCUAUAGCUUCUUCAAUAAACGCUGGUUCUUCGAUCAAGUUUUGAAUGACUUUAUAGUCAGAUCGUUCCUGCGUUUCGGAUAUGAAGUCUCAUUCGAAGCUUUAGACAAAGGUGCUAUUGAGAUAUUGGGCCCUUAUGGUAUCUCGUACACAUUCCGACGAUUGGCCGAGCGGAUAAGUCAACUUCAAAGUGGAUUUGUUGUGCGAAGAGUGCGUUAUGACCCGUGGCCGCCUGCCUGGUCUGGUGGGGGCGGCUCCUCCGUUGUGGGUAAACGGGAAACCCGACUCUACGAACCCGAGGAAAGGCUGCAAAGCAGUAGUAGGGGCGUUCAGACCGGAGCUUUUUGUAGUGCUAGCAGGAAUGCAAGUGAAUGAAUCCCAUCCCCUAGCGUACAGAAAAGAAGUGCUUACGCCCCUAAUACUGAUUAGAGAUAGGGGCGCGCUAGCGCUUUAAUAAUAAUAAUAAAUAAUAGAAAAGGGGGCUGAGAAAAGCUUGCUGUCUACUUCUCGAGCCUUCACUGCCCCGUUCUUUAACUUCCCUUCUUUAGUCCGUCCACGAGGCUGUAAAAAGAGAGAUAGGGGCGGCUAUAUAGCGGGAGUCGUUUCGGUUGUAUGCCACGAGGUCCCUAUGGACAAGGGGACAAGUGAAUCAUCGCUUUUGGGCGCAGGCAGCCCUCUACCAUCCAUCCCAUUGCAUUCCAUCGUCUCGUAUUGUACUGUACCGUACCAGACCAGAUACAUCUAUUGAGUGAGAGAAAGGUAGCUUCUCUAUAUAUAUUCUUAAAAUUUUAUAUUUAUAGGGAUCCCCAGAUUCCCGUCACUACGGAUUUUUUUUCUCUACCUAACUACAUGGUAGUGGUCUAGGGAGCGCAAUUGCUAGAGCACGGGAGAAUGAAGAGUAAUGAUUUCAGCAAGAGCAGCCGGACGGACUACUAUAGUGAGUCCAGUGACUACUAGAGUAGAGUUGAGUCAAAAGGUAUGGUAUAGCUGCCUGUCCGAGUCCGAGCGAGCCUCUGGGAUCUCCUGUAAACCCCCAUGAUGUGGUAAAGUAAAGGGAGGAUAUUAGGGGAAGCAGUGAGUGGAGAUUCCCCUGCAGAGAGCCGGAUGAGGGGGGACCUUCACGUCCGGUUCGGAGGGCGGGGAUAUCCCGACCCUAC